rnacentral:rRNA from 1 species
GAUGAACGCUGGCGGCGUGCUUAACACAUGCAAGUCGAGCGAGAAAAGUUCUUCGGAGCUUUUCUAGCGGCGGACGGGUGAGUAACACGUGGGCAACCUGCCUCAUAGAGGGGAAUAGCCUUCCGAAAGGAAGAUUAAUACCGCAUAACAUUGUUGAAAGGCACCUUUUAACAAUCAAAGGAGCAAUCCGCUAUGAGAUGGGCCCGCGGCGCAUUAGCUAGUUGGUGAGGUAACGGCUCACCAAGGCGACGAUGCGUAGCCGGCCUGAGAGGGUGAACAGCCACAUUGGAACUGAGACACGGUCCAGACCCCUACGGGAGGCAGCAGUGGGGAAUAUUGCACAAUGGGGGAAACCCUGAUGCAGCACCGCCGCGUGAGUGCUGAAGGUCUUCGGAUUGUAAAGCUCUGUCUUUAGGGACGAUAAUGACGGUACCUAAGGAGGAAGCCACGGCUAACUACGUGCCAGCAGCCGCCGUAACAC